AAGGAUUCUAUGAACCAACAUAGAGCAAAUGAAGCAGAAAUGUGAGAAGUUCUAUCAUGACCACAAUAAUGUAAAGCAAAACACUUUUGAAAGGCUUCAAGAUCUAAGAACUUUGAUCAAUAUAGUGAAAAACCAUGACUUCAAAGGAUGAAUAGCGAAGCUUAAAUAAUGGUGUCUGACAGAGCAAUGAUGGUCCAGAGAAGCUGAAUAAGGCAUACGUUUCUGGAUAUGCCACUGUGUAUAUCAUCAACAGAAACUCUACAAUCAUAUCUGAUAUCUUCAGAAUUGAGGACAAGAGAAGAGCAGACUGCUUUUCAUGCCAGGAAUGACAGUCCUGUUAUCAGAGACCUGGUUAAACAAAUCCUGCAGACCUUAUUUCUGCCAGCAAAAAAUUCCUCUGAAUUCCCCACUACAUAAGGAAGGACAGUUCUGAUAGACUGGUCCUGAACUGGUCCUGAAAGCUGGCUUGCCAAAUUAAGUUCUUCAACAGAGUUAUCUCCCUUCUUAGAUAAGGAUGGUUCCCUUGGAAAGAGGAAUCAAGGAAAUGGGAUCAAGGAAGUUUGGAACUAACACCUCUAGGAUCCCAGCUACAGAUACUUGAGCAAGGAAGAGCAGGGGACAGAAGAGGAAGAGCAGGAAGAAGAGAAAGAGCAUACUGAUGAAGCCCUUUUACAAAUUAUACCACUGAAGAGAGUUUGCUGAGAAGGCCCUUUCUCUGUGCCAACCUCUUGGGAAACCAUCAGUCUACUAUGAAAAAAUUCUACACUCAGCACUCUUCUUGAGAAACUAAAGAGACAAAGAUGAUUCUCCUAAUGGACAAAUUCUAAGAGACAUUAUUCCAUGUGGUAGUGAGUGAAGAUAUAAAAAGGAGAAGUUAGAA